CAGUGGUAGGCACCUUGCUCUCGGCCGAAAGUUCUGACAUGGAAUGUGAGGCCAGCCCUGUGGCGGCAAACAGGUUCUGGAAGGAGCAGAAAGGGGAAGAAGAAAGAAGAGGAAGGAAUCAGGACAAGGCAGGGCCUGCAGGCCAGGCCCUCAGCUUGCGGCUCCCGGCGCACACCAGGCGGGGCCAGCGGUCUUCCGUCUCCCUGAGGAGAGGAUGCCAGAGCCACGUUUGGAAAGCUCAGUUACGGGGAGUCACCAUGUAGCUGCAAGGAAUCAUCUGGAAUCAUUUCUCUUCAAGAUAAAGACCACCCUUUAGCUUUCUUACCGUACAGGUCUACUGACGACAGAGUCUCUCAGCUUCUGUUGACCUGGAAAUGUCAUCUCUACACCCAGCGUGGGGCUCAAGCUCACAACCCCGAGAUCAAGACUCGCGUGCUCCACUGACUGAGUCUGCCGGGCACCCCUCACCUCAUUGUUGAGAGAUGUUUUUGCUGCAUCUAGAAUUUCUGGAUGGACAGAUUUUUUUUUUUUCUUUUAGCACUUUGGAGAUGUCAUUUCGCUGCCUCCUGGCCUCCUGGUUGGCUUAUGAGGAGGUGACGUUCAUGCUCCCACUUCCCUGUGGGCAAUGAGUGCUCCUUCUUGGGCCUCUUUCGAUGUCCUCCUUUUAUCUUUGGGUUAAUCAGAUUGAUAAUGAUGCACUUUGAUGUCAUUCUUUUUAUACUUAUCCCUCUUGGGGUUCGGUGAGCUCUGGGGUCUGUAUGUUGAUUAUCUUAAUCAAAUUUUGGGGAGUUUGGGGGCAUUAGUUCUUCAGGUAUUCUUCAGCUCUCUUCUCAUUUUCUUCUGCUGGGACGUCAGUUACCCGCAUGUUAGACCAUUUAUCUGACCCUCCCCUUAGCCAGCGGACCCUUGAGGGUCUAUUCAUUUUUCUUUGGUGUUUUGUUCUCUUUCUUCGGAUUGUAUCAUUUCUAUUGAUCUGCCUUCAAGUUCAAAGACUGUUUUCUGACACCUACAAUUUGCUGUUAAACCUACCCAGCGAAUUUCUUUUAUUGUGCUUUUAAAGUCACAAUUUCCAUUUGAUUCUUUUUUAUAGUUUCUGUUUCUAUGAUAAAAUUUUCUGUUUACUCAUCAAAAUGUUAUUUUCCUUUAAUUUUUUGAACACAUUUAUAAUAGGUCCUUUAAAGUCUUGUUUAGUAAUUCAAGACAAUUUUUGUUUUAGGUGGCUGCUUUUUCCUCGACUCUGGGUGACGUUUUUCUGUUUCUUGUCAUUCCUAGAAAUUUUUCAUUGCGUACUGGAUAUUACAGACGAUACGCUAUAGACAGUCUGGAUUUUGUUAUCUUCCUCUGAAGAGUGUUGGAUCUUGUUCCGGUCAGCAGUUCAGUCACUGACCAAUCAUUUCGAACUUGUUUAGGGUUUUCGAGAGAGAAGCAAGAGCGAGCCUACCUCUGGUGGCCCUGACUCAUAGAGACUUUCCAGGUCAUAGCUGGAUGCCCAGUGUUGAUGAGCUGUGUCCACUGUGGCUGGGCCAGAGCUCCCAGGUCUCCAGCACCGGGCCAUGGCUGCUGCUCUGUUCUGUCCUGAACCACUCUUGGGUGACGUCAUCCUGCACGUGUUCAGCCAAUCCUCAGCCAUGGACUAGAAAGGAACCAGGAGGAGACCACACACAGACUUCCGGGCACAGCUCCCUCUUCCCCUGCAGAGUCCAGCCCCUUCAGCUGCCUCAGACCCCGACCCGCCUUGGCCAUCCGGCAGGACCACGUGUUCUGCUUGGAUCCUGGCUUCCUGCCCCUCAGGAGACGUGUUAGCCCAGGCAGAGCAUCUGUGGGUCUAACCUCAGGGGUUUCUAUCUGCCAAGGACGGAAGUCUUGUGCUGCCUAUCACCAUUUCCAGAACACAAUUACUGGGUAUAUUUGUCAGGCUGCACAGUUAUUCACAAUGGGAAGGCUAGUCUGGGAGCCGGUGAAAACAUCACCACGGGAAGCAAAUGUGCAUGAUUUUUAGUCUAUGGGGAGGACAGUGUGUUGUAAAUCUCGGUCUGUUUUCACUUGUUCCGCUCUGAUCCAAGGGCCAAGUUAUGAUUUCUCCUGAGGAAGCACUAGCUGGUGGAAGGGUCUAGUGCGGUCUAAGAAGACAGAAGUUUAUCUAAGCUGGGCCAGCUCCCCAGGGGGUGGUCGGACUCCGCAGACACACCGUAAGGCUGGAGGAAGGGACCGUCCUCUCCAGGCACAGAGAGAGGCCAAGGUGGGAGAAUCCAGUGACUUGGCCUAUGGACAAGAAACCCCUAGAAAACUCACCCCAGAAAGUUACCCUGGAGGGGCGCCUGGGUGGCACAGCGGUUAAGCGUCUGCCUUCGGCUCAGGGCGUGAUCCCACAGUCCUGGGAUCGAGCCCCACAUCAGGCUCCUCCACUAUGAGCCUGCUUCUUCCUCUCCC